GGGGGGUCUGAUUCCAUUGUGCGCAGAUUCCAAUGACAUAGAGUAACCUCUUAGCCGGCUGCUCCGCUGAGUAGAGCCAAAAUAACUGAAGAGUUUUAUCCUGGAGGAAAACAGCUACGCAACGACAGAAGACACAAUAGCGCACCAUCUUUGGCUUGCUCGUCUCUGGUGGAGGUCUACAAGCCUCCCAUUCUCUGGAUAAGCUGAUGUGAGGGCAAAAUACGGGUCAAAUGUGAGAGGGGAGCCAAAUGGGGAUUCCCAUGCAUGGAUCCAAACCAGCCACCACAAGUGCACCAAGUGACAUUUGGGGGAGAUUUGUGACACUCCUCAGUGGCAGCAGCCUCCCUCCAUCCGGCCCACCACACUGCUCUGAAAAAACAGCUCUGAACUGGCUUGAACCUUCAGGACCCAAAGGAUCUGCUGGCACUGUCCCUCCAUCAUUACAGGUCACCACCAGUGGUCCACUCAGCACUGUUUUAGUGGCACAAGGAGAAUCUACACAGUAUUAGGGAGGUUGUUAUACUGUUCUAACUGUUGCUGUGUGGUACCAAGUGAAGAUUUAUUCGACUUUAGGGUGCUAACAAGAUAAUAUAUGCUCACAGGAUCAGUUCAUUGUUGUUUUUGGCCUUUAAUUUGUGUUUUUUCCAGCUGAUAUCCAUUUCAUUAUAGUCUCCAUCUCACUAAAUAUUCCUCCUCUUACAUCCAGCUGUGAGUUUGAUGUUUUUGUGGAGAAAGCAACAGUAAUAUCAAAGUUGUAGAUUCCCACUCUUCAAUAUAAAAUUACAUUUGUGCUCCUUUAAAAAACAAACAUGUCCUGUGGUUGACGUGACGUGUGAAAUAAAUGUGCAGUUGCUCCAGAUGACAUUUUUACAGUUGGUGCAGAACAAUGAGUUGUCAGGAAAC